AACGCGAAGAACCUUACCAGGUCUUGACAUCCUCUGACACUCCUAGAGAUAGGACGUUCCCUUCGGGGACAGAGUGACAGGUGGUGCAUGGUUGUCGUCAGCUCGUGUCGUGAGAUGUUGGGUUAAGUCCCGCAACGAGCGCAACCCUUGAUCUUAGUUGCCAGCAUUUAGUUGGGCACUCUAAGGUGACUGCCGGUGACAAACCGGAGGAAGGUGGGGAUGACGUCAAAUCAUCAUGCCCCUUAUGACCUGGGCUACACACGUGCUACAAUGGAUGGUACAAAGGGUAGCGAAGCCGCAAGGUGGAGCCAAUCCCAUAAAACCAUUCUCAGUUCGGAUUGUAGGCUGCAACUCGCCUACAUGAAGCUGGAAUCGCCAGUAAUCGCGGAUCAGCAUGCCGCGGUGAAUACGUUCCCGGGUCUUGUACACACCG
rnacentral:rRNA from 1 species